GGCCUGCCCACUGAAAGAAUUAAAGGGCCGCGGUAUUUUGACCGUGCAAAGGUAGCAUAAUUGUUAGGUUUUUAAUUGAGAUCUUGUAUGAAAGGUUCGACAAGGAAUAAGCUGUCUUUAUAUUUAUAAUUGAAUUUAACUUUUAAGUGAAAAGGCUUAAAUGUGUUGAAAAGACGAUAAGACCCUAUAAAACUUUAUAUUAAGCCUAAUUUAAUUGAAUUUUUGAGAAUAAAAUUUUGAUAAGGUAAGAUAUUAUAUUGGGGCGAUAAAAAUAAAAUUUUAAAUAACUGUUAAGGUUUAAAUACACAUAUAGGUGGUUAAAAUUAAUUGAUCCUAGUUAGAGAUUAAAAGUUUAAGUUACUUUAGGGAUAACAGCGUUAUUUUUUUUGAGAGUUCUUAUCGAAAAAAAAGUUUGCGACCUCGAUGUUGAAUUAAAGUGCCUAUAUAAUUGUAGAUGUUAUAAUAGGAGGUCUGUUCGACCUUUAAAUCUUUA
rnacentral:rRNA from 1 species